CUACGAUUCUUAGAAAACUCAAUCAAAAAAUCUUUCCACUCAUUAUACAAAUUCUGUUGAAAGUUAAGUUAAUUUGAAGCUUUAAACAUAAAAUUAAAGAUAUUCGUAGUAUACACAUUAUUCAAAUCAAAGUCUGAACAUGUUUGAAGCACUCAAGGAAGCGGUUUGUGCCUGGACUUAUAAAUGCUAUCGCUGUGCCCAGUUGUCAAUUGUUUUUACCAUACCAUAUCUCACAUUUAAAUGCCAAAUCGACAAGCUGUGUACCUUCGAUAUCUGCCUCAUGUACGCGAGUGUCGCACUUGGUGUUCUUACUUGCAUGGAGGCUAAUCAGCGACGUAUCGCAUAAAUCUGGACAAUGCCAGCCAGAUUGUUGGAACUGCUGCUGCUGCUACUGGAACUCGCCAAGCCGAUGAAACAAAGCAGCAACAAGCUGCACACGAUUUUAUAGCACAUUUUUGUUUUGUGGUUUAUAUGAAUAUCGUAUCCAAAACUUCCAACAGUCUCUCUUCCUCCGAUUGUCUUGCAAAUUAUGUAUUAAAAUAUGCAGCUGAGCUGUGCAAAAUGUUUUGCUUUUUUUAAUUCA